rnacentral:rRNA from 1 species
UACAGAGGUCCCAAGCGUUGUUCGGAUUCAUUGGGCGUAAAGGGUGCGUAGGCGGCGCGGUAAGUCGGGUGUGAAAUCUCGGGGCUUAACUCCGAAACUGCAUUCGAUACUGCCGUGCUUGAGGACUGGAGAGGAGACUGGAAUUUACGGUGUAGCGGUGAAAUGCGCAGAUAUCAGGAGGAACACCGGUGGCGAAGGCGGGACUCUGGGCCGAUACUGACGCUGAGGAGCGAAAGCGUGGGGAGCAAACAGG